UCCCUGGUGGUCCAGUGGUUAAUACUCUGCAUCUUCACUGCAGGGGGCUUGGGUUCGAUUCCCUGGUCAGGGAA
rnacentral:tRNA from 1 species